AUGACCAAACUCAUCUCCCAGAACAGCUCCUUCAGCACAUCUCCCUACCUGGAAGAAGAGGACUCUGGGCUUGGGUCCAGCUCACAUGGGAAAUGUUCUCUGAGAGUCACGGACAUCCUGUGCAAGAACAUGAAGCACCUGUGGUUCUUCCUCCUCCUGGUGGCAGCUCCCAGAUGGGUCCUGUCCCAGGUGCAGCUGCAGGAGUCGGGCCCAGGACUGGUGAAGCCUUCGGAGACCCUGUCCCUCACCUGCGCUGUCUCUGGUUACUCCAUCAGCAGUGGUUAUGGCUGGAGCUGGAUCCGCCAGCCCCCAGGGAAGGGGCUGGAGUGGAUUGGGUAUAUCGGUGGUAGUAGUGGUAGCACCAACUACAACCCCUCCCUCAAGAGUCGAGUCACCAUUUCAAAAGACACGUCCAAGAACCAGUUCUCCCUGAAGCUGAGCUCUGUGACCGCCGCGGACACGGCCGUGUAUUACUGUGCGAGAGACACAGAAUAAGAGUCACUAUUUCAGGUUUGGGGCCUGAGUGCACCUACUGGAUCCAGCCCAGGACUGGAGAUACUUUCCAGAACACGACAUCACCUGAGACAUGA